rnacentral:rRNA from 1 species
CGGAGGAAAAGAAACUAACAAGGAUUCCCCUAGUAACUGCGAGUGAAGCGGGAAAAGCUCAAAUUUAAAAUCUGGUGGUCUUAGACUAUCCGAGUUGUAAUCUAGAGAAAGUGUUAUCCGCGCUGGACCG